UAGUAGACAUUCUCCGAUCUUUGGUGAUUCAGCUUCAAUGAUUGGCUACAGGUUUCUUUCAUAAAGCUAGGUUACCAAAGCUCGGCGUCUUGAUCUAC